CAAUAGCGUAUAUUAAUGUUGUUGCAGUUAAAAAGCUCGUAGUUGGAUUUCUGGUGGGAGCGGCCGGUCCGCCGUAAGGUGUGUACUUGGUUGUCUCCUGUCAUCCUUGUGGGAACUGCUCUGGCAUUAAGUUGUCGGGGUUAGGGAACACAUCGUUUACUGUGAAAAAAUUAGAGUGUUUAAAGCAGGCUUAUGCCGUUGAAUACAUUAGCAUGGAAUAAUAAGAUAGGACUUUGGCGUCUAUUUUGUUGGUUUGCACACCAAGGUAAUGAUUAAUAGGGAUAGUUGGGGGUAUUCGUAUUUAAUUGUCAGAGGUGAAAUUCUUGGAUUUAUGAAAGACGAACUUCUGCGAAAGCAUUUACCAAAGAUGUUCUCAUUA
rnacentral:rRNA from 1 species